rnacentral:rRNA from 1 species
GAUGAACGCUGGCGGCGUGCCUAAUACCUGCAAGUCGAGCGAACAGACGAGGAGCUUGCUCCUCUGACGUUAGCGGCGGACGGGUGAGUAACACGUGGAUAACCUACCUAUAAGACUGGGAUAACUUCGGGAAACCGGAGCUAAUACCGGAUAAUAUAUUGAACCGCAUGGUUCAAUAGUGAAAGACGGUUUUGCUGUCACUUAUAGAUGGAUCCGCGCCGCAUUAGCUAGUUGGUAGGUAACGGCUUACCAAGGCAACGAUGCGUAGCCGACCUGAGAGGGUGAUCGGCCACACUGGAACUGAGACACGGUCCAGACUCCUACGGGAGGCAGCAGUAGGGAAUCUUCCGCAAUGGGCGAAAGCCUGACGGAGCAACGCCGCGUGAGUGAUGAAGGUCUUCGGAUCGUAAAACUCUGUUAUUAGGGAAGAACAAAUGUGUAAGUAACUAUGCACGUCUUGACGGUACCUAAUCAGAAAGCCACGGCUAACUACGUG